AACGUAGGAGACGAGCGUUAUCCGGAUUUACUGGGCGUAAAGCGCGUGCAGGCGGUUUGGAAAGUCGGUCGUGAAAGCUCCUGGCUCAACUGGGAGAGGUCGUCCGAAACUACCAGACUCGAGAGCGGCAGAGGGGAGUGGAAUUCCGGGUGUAGUGGUGAAAUGCGUAGAUAUCCGGAGGAACACCAGUGGCGAAGGCGGCUCCCUGGGCCGUUUCUGACGCUCAGACGCGAAAGCGUGGGUAG
rnacentral:rRNA from 1 species